GUAGUCCAUACCGUAAACGAUGGGUGCUAGUUGUUAAGAGGUUUCCGCCUCCUAGUGACGUAGCAAACGCAUUAAGCACCCCGCCUGAGGAGUACGGCCGCAAGGCUAAAACUUAAAGGAAUUGACGGGGACCCGCACAAGCGGUGGAGCAUGUGGUUUAAUUCGAAGAUACGCGAAAAACCUUACCAGGUCUUGACAUACCAAUGAUCGCUUUUGUAAUGAAAGCUUUUCUUCGGAACAUUGGAUACAGGUGGUGCAUGGUCGUCGUCAGCUCGUGUCGUGAGAUGUUGGGUUAAGUCCCGCAACGAGCGCAACCCUUGUUAUUAGUUGCCAGCAUUUAGUUGGGCACUCUAAUGAGACUGCCGGUGAUAAACCGGAGGAAGGUGGGGACGACGUCAGAUCAUCAUGCCCCUUAUGACCUGGGCAACACACGUGCUACAAUGGGAAGUACAACGAGUCGCAAACCGGCGACGGUAAGCUAAUCUCUUAAAACUUCUCUCAGUUCGGACUGGAGUCUGCAACUCGACUCCACGAAGGCGGAAUCGCUAGUAAUCGCGAAUCAGCAUGUCGCGGUGAAUACGUUCCCGGGUCUUGUACACACCGCCCGUCAAAUCAUGGGAGUCGGAAGUACCCAAAGUCGCUUGGCUAACUUUUAGAGGCCGGUGCCUAAGGUAAAAUCGAUGACUGGGAUUAAGUCGUAACAAGGUAGCCGUAGGAGAACCUGCGGCUGGAUCACCUCCUUUCUAAGGA
rnacentral:rRNA from 1 species